rnacentral:rRNA from 1 species
AUUGAACGCUGGCGGCAUGCCUUACACAUGCAAGUCGAACGGCAGCGGGGGAGAAGCUUGCUUUUCCUGCCGGCGAGUGGCGAACGGGUGAGUAAUACAUCGGAACGUGCCCCGUAGUGGGGGAUAACUAGUCGAAAGAUUAGCUAAUACCGCAUACGACCUGAGGGUGAAAGUGGGGGACCGCAAGGCCGCAUGCUAUAGGAGCGGCCGAUGUCUGAUUAGCUAGUUGGUGGGGUAAAGGCCUACCAAGGCGACGAUCAGUAGCUGGUCUGAGAGGACGAUCAGCCACACUGGGACUGAGACACGGCCCAGACUCCUACGGGAGGCAGCAGUGGGGAAUUUGGACAAUGGGCGAAAGCCUGAUCCAGCAAUGCCGCGUGUGUGAAGAAGGCCUUCGGGUUGUAAAGCACUUUUGUCCGGAAAGAAAUGGCUCUGGUUAAUACCUGGGGUCGAUGACGGUACCGGAAGAAUAAGGACCGGCUAACUACGUGCCAGCCGCCGCCGUAA